rnacentral:rRNA from 1 species
CAAUAGCGUAUAUUAAAGUUGUUGCGGUUAAAAAGCUCGUAGUUGGAUUUCUGCUGAGAACGACCGGUCCGCCCUCUGGGUGUGUAUCUGGCUCUUUCUUGGCAUCUUCUUGGUGAACGUUGCUGCACUUGACUGUGUGGAGCGCUACCCAGGACUUUUACUUUGAGGAAAUUAGAGUGUUUCAAGCAGGCAUACGCCUUGAAUACAUUAGCAUGGAAUAAUAAGAUAGGACCUCGGUUCUAUUUUGUUGGUUUCUAGAGCUGAGGUAAUGAUUAAUAGGGAUAGUUGGGGGCAUUCGUAUUUAACUGUCAGAGGUGAGAUUCUUGGAUUUGUUAAAGGCGGACUACUGCGAAAGCAUUUGCCAAGGAUGUUUUCAUUGA